CUCCCGCGGCGGGCCGGGUCUCCAGGGAGGACCUGAGUUUUUCUUCACCCAUGGUCAGGGAGGCGCCAUCGCCCUGGCUUUGGGGCUGGGGCCUCCGGGGAGGUUCCGGUAGGGGCGUUGGAGAGGCCGCUCUUUUUGCAAGGCCCGAGAUGGCGGGCCCUGCGCAGGCCGCCCUAUUCCGCGCCCUCAGGGCGUCAGUAUCCGCCUGAGGCCGGAUACCCACUCUGGGCUCGGAUACCCGCGCUGGGCCCGGAGCAUCCUCGGCGCUGCCCUCCCAGAGCCCCGCAGAGGCUGAGGUGGCGCGGGGGCGGCCCCGGCUCCGCGAGAAGAGGCGGCAGCGAGGGCUGGAGGACCCGGGCUACGGGGCUCCGGGGCGUCUGGCCUGGGUGGGACUGAGCCCAUCCAGGGACUGGGACUCCGGGGUUCUGGUGUAGGUGGAUCCCGGGCAGGCUCAGGACCAAGACCCUCUCCUUCCACCAAGGAGCGCCCAGAGGCCGGCGGGAGCUCCAGGUUCACCUCCUCCUCCUCCAGGAAAUCCCACUUCCAGCUGGAUGUCUGGAUGAACUCCUGAAAGCUGCUGAGUGUCCUGCAGCAGGUGAGCUGUGGCCAGAGCCCAAGGAUGAAGGGGACUCCCUCACUCUGUGACUGUGAAGAGGAAGCCUGAGGUGUAGCAGGCCCAGGCCCCAGAAGUAUGGAAAAAAUGAGGCCAUUUCCAAUCCAGAGGAAGACCUUCUAGAAGAAGUGAUGGGUGGGAGAGUGCUGACAUACUAUGCAAAGCUACUAUUUGGAGUUGGACACGAGUGCAUGUGACCUUGUGCCACAGCGGGAAUGUGAGCUGGAUGACAAAUGGAGAUUUGGACUUGUGAUAAUUGGCCUCUGUGUCAUUGUGUGGAAGACUGACUGGUCCCUUUAUUUCCUGUAGCUUGACUACCACACAAAUUAAUCCACUCAAAUGUUGGCAAGUGGAGCAGAGUCCCAGGACAGUCUGCAAUCUCUACAGGUACAGAAACACCCCCAGUUCAAGGAUCUUCACACCUGGAUUUAGGCCUACACCUGCAACUACCCCAGGCCAGUUAUCCAGGCAGUGACUUUCUGUACAGCUACAGUCACCUCUGGACACCUGCGGAGACUUUAAAAAUUUCCAGAAGGUCAGGAAUUUUUGGAGACCUUUCUUAUGGCUACGUUGCCUGCAAAGGUGAAUCAAUAAGCUUCUGAACUGACUUAGAAAAUGUUGCAGAGACUCUUGUGAACAGAUAGACCCUCUCCUGCCACUCCAGAUAGACGUAUCCGGGUCACACACACCUGAUUUAACAACAUCUCAUUAUCUCAGGCACCAAUUUGAUCUUCUACUACUUUGCAGACAUCUCUUCUGCAAACACCAGACAAACUGAGACAAUGAACUUCCGCAGGACCCAAAGCACCUCUUACUGCAGGAAAGAAGAUCCAGUGAGAUAGUUAGUCCACAAAUGGAAUGUCAAUCCAUAAACACACUUAAGUAACAGAAUAAAUUUAGUAUGAGCGUUUUUAUGUGGGAGCUCUUGAAAUGGUUGCUGCUCAUAUGUCAGAGACAUAUGCAGUUUAAGAAAGGUAGCAGUUCCAAUCCUGGUUUGGCCCAACAGUCACUGCAUUUUUGGUGGGGAAAAGGGAUGUGGGAGGAGAUGGUACAUCUUCAUCUUUUUCUCUGGGUUUUCUGUCAGAAAGGGAUGUUGCUUACUCCAGUGGCAAAAAAUGCCAGUGUCUUCUGCCAGAGUGGGUUACUGAGGGCCAUGGUGGUUCCACCUUGUGGCUGAUACAGAUAGUCCCUUUCUGCUUUUGUUUCUAGCCAAAAAAGAUGUUUCUCGCAUCUCAGGUAUGCAGACUUCAGCAGCUGUUUUUUCUAUAUGGCUAUUUUUUUUUUCUUUCACUCUCUCUUUCUCUCUUUUUUUUUUGUUGGCUUCACUGUGUUGCCAUAGUUUCUUAAAUGGUCCCUUGAACCCUCCCAGAGCUAUUUUGGUUUGUACAUAACUAUCUAUAUAUUUUUUUCUUGGGGGGAGUGUGUAGAGCUAAAGGCUGGUAUAUCCUGCUCCUGCUCCCCGAAAGUGACGUUAUUCCCCCAAGCUAAUAUUUCAGGCUUUCAAUUUAUUCAUGCUUUCAUCUGUUUAAACAUAAGUAGAAAUUACUUUUUCUCUCCACAUUUAGAUUUGAUCUAUCUACUUUAAUUGCUAAUAGUGUCUUAGUCAUAGAAUAGAUUAGUUAGAAAAAAGUGUUUUUGACAUUAUAAAUGAUUCUUUCAAUUUGUGUCUAAAAGUGGAAAAUACUAGAAAGCUUAACAUUUAUUAUUGUAUUCAGACCAGUAUUUCCUCCAGAUGACCUUUAUUACAACAAAGAUAAUUUAAUGAAGAUCUCUCUAAUGGUAAAGCUGAUGGCUUUGUGCUAUUACAAUAUCCUUCAAAUAAAGUGACGAUCUGGUGGAAAGAACAACUAAAGCAAGGAUUAGGAAGAAAACAGUUAAUACCUUCAUUUUGGUCUCACUCUGCAUUAAGAGUUUUCAUUGUGUUAAGGAUUUAUUAUACAUUAAGUAAUUUAAUGUUCAUUUAAUAAUAAAUGGAUCCUAUUAAAUAUGAUUUUUAAAAUUAUAAUCACA
ensembl:lncRNA FAM66C family with sequence similarity 66 member C